CACAUACUCCCUUCUUUCGGAAUUACUCGUCCAAAAAAUGAAUGUAUCUAGAUGUAUUUUAGUUGUAGAUACAUCCAUUUUUGUGACAAGUAAUUCCGAACGGAGGGAGUAGCAA
rfam:Triticum aestivum genome assembly, contig: Triticum_aestivum_CS42_TGACv1_scaffold_343139_4DL